UACGUAGGGUGCAAGCGUUGUCCGGAAUUAUUGAGCGUAAAGAGCUCGUAGGCGGUUUGUUGCGUCGGCUGUGAAAUCCCGAGGCUCAACCUCGGGUCUGCAGUCGAUACGAGCAAACUAGAGUGUUGCAGGGGAGACUGGAAUUCCUGGUGUAGCGGUGAAAUGCGCAGAUAUCAGGAGGAACACCGGUGGCGAAGGCGGGUCUCUGGGCCGAUACUGACGCUGGAGGAGCGAAAGCGUGGGGAGCAACAGG
rnacentral:rRNA from 1 species